rnacentral:misc_RNA from 1 species
GAUGAAGAACGGAGCGAAAUGCGAUAAGUAAUGUGAAUUGCAGAAUUCAGUGAAUCAUCGAAUCUUUGAACGCACCUUGCGCCCUUUGGCCAUUCCGAAGGGCAUGCCUGUUUGAGUAUCAUGAACACCUCAACUCUUCAUGGUUUUCCGUGAUGAGCUUGGACUUUGGGGGUCUUGCUGGCCUAUGGUCAGCUCCUCUAAAAUAAAUCAGCUUGCCAGUGUUUGGUGGGUAUCACAGGUGUGAUAACUAUCUACGCUUGUGGUUUUCCACCAGGUAACCUUCAGCAGUGGAGGUUCUCUGGAGCUCACAGAUGUGUCUCUCCUCAGUGAGGACAGCUCUUUGAAUGUUUGAUCUCAAAUCAGGUAGGACUACCCGCUGAACUUAAGCAUAUCAAUAAGCGGGGGA